AUUGAACGCUGGCGGCAUGCUUUACACAUGCAAGUCGAACGGUAACAGCACUUCGGUGGCUGACGAGUGGCGAACGGGUGAGUAAUACAUCGGAACGUGCCUAGUAGUGGGGGAUAACUACUCGAAAGAGUAGCUAAUACCGCAUGAGAUCUAAGGAUGAAAGCAGGGGACCUUCGGGCCUUGCGCUACUAGAGCGGCUGAUGGCAGAUUAGGUAGUUGGUGGGAUAAAAGCUUACCAAGCCGACGAUCUGUAGCUGGUCUGAGAGGACGACCAGCCACACUGGGACUGAGACACGGCCCAGACUCCUACGGGAGGCAGCAGUGGGGAAUUUUGGACAAUGGGCGCAAGCCUGAUCCAGCAAUGCCGCGUGCAGGAUGAAGGCCUUCGGGUUGUAAACUGCUUUUGUACGGAACGAUAAGCCCUCUUCUAAUACAGUAGGGUCAUGACGGUACCGUAAGAAUAAGCACCGGCUAACUACGUG
rnacentral:rRNA from 1 species